AUUGAACACUGGCGGCAUGCUUUACACAUGCAAGUCGAACGGUAACAGGGUGCUUGCACCGCUGACGAGUGGCAAACGGGUGAGUAAUGCGUCGGAACGUGCCGAGUAGUGGGGGAUAACGCAGCGAAAGUUGUGCUAAUACCGCAUACGUACUGAGGUAGAAAGUGGGGGACCUUCGGGCCUCACGCUAUUCGAGCGGCCGACGUCUGAUUAGCUAGUAGGUGAGGUAAAGGCUCACCUAGGCGACGAGCAGUAGCGGGUCUGAGAGGAUGGUCCGCCACACUGGGACUGAGACACGGCCCAGACUCCUACGGGAGGCAGCAGUGGGGAAUUUUGGACAAUGGGCGAAAGCCUGAUCCAGCCAUGCCGCGUGUCUGAAGAAGGCCUUCGGGUUGUAAAGGACUUUUGUCGGGGAGGAAAUCCCCAGCGUUAAUACCGCUGGGGGAUGACAGUACCUGAAGAAUAAGCACCGGCUAACUACGUGCCAGCCGCCGCCGUAAUAC
rnacentral:rRNA from 1 species